rnacentral:tRNA from 1 species
GGUGGGAUGCCCGAGUGGCUAAUGGGGACGGGCUGUAAACCCGUUGGCUUGCGCCUACGUUGGUUCGAAUCCAACUCCCACCACCA